AAGCGCUACCGUAGUGUACACAAUGCAGUCUAUUGCGUAGUUUAAACGCACAUGUUAUGUUUGUAUAACACUGUGGAACCCACGUGACCAGAAGGUUUAUUUUAACUGAAGGUCGUCAAAAUAUCAACUCCUACGACACCGCCAACAUAUGACUCAAAACAUGAAUGUUGCCAGUUAUAUAGACGAUAAAACAGAAGGUUUAACAGUCGCAUUUGAACGUUUUCUCUAGUUUUACGACAGAUGUCAUUAAAAAGUACUCAAAAUGUAUCGAAACUCAACAAAAGAAAGCACGAAUCGCCGUCUUGGACAACACAGCAAUGCUGCCUUCCUCAGACGUUAUCUGGCGGAAUGCUUUACAGAACUUUCAAUGAUACACAGAGUGCAGUUCCAUGAAAAGCAGCAUAUGGUCCCCAGAUUAAACAAGUGAAUGAAUAUUGCCAUGCAAUACAAAGUCCCCUACUGGAAGGCACCUAAUUUAACAUAAUGAACUGAUAUCUGUCAAUGAUGUAUAAACAAUAUUGUACUAUAUAUAAAAUAUGUUAUAACAACACACUUGGAUUAAAACGUGCAUAUAUA